CAGUCGCCGCGGGAAUACGAGGGGGGCAAGCGUUGUUCGGAAUUAUUGGGCGUAAAGGGUGCGUAGGCGGUUUGAUAAGUCAUCUGUGAAAUCCCCGGGCUUAACCUGGGAACUGCAUUUGUGACUGGCGAGCUAGAGUAUGGCAGAGGGGGGUAGAAUUCCACGUGUAGCAGUGAAAUGCGUAGGGAUGUGGAGGAAUACCGAUGGCGAAGGCAGCCCCCUGGGCCAAUACUGACGCUCAUGCACGAAAGCGUGGGGAGCAAACAGGAUUAGAUACCCCUGUAGUCCCUGUCUCUUAUAC
rnacentral:rRNA from 1 species